UUUGUUUGCGUGGAAUGGGUUUUCUUGCUCGUAAGAUCAACCUAAAAGAUAAAAAGAACUAUAACAUGUACAUUAGCUUUUAAACGGAUUGGAAGUCGAAUUGAACUGAACUGCAACGUUUGCUUACAUAUUUCAAAGCUUGUUUCCUUAGGCUCCACUGAUUCCAGUUGUAAAGAGAUAAAACUGCAUGACCUGACCACCUCUACAGUAACACUGGCUGGAACUGUGGUUGAAUCCUAAGGGACAUCACCGACCACGACACAGUCCUUCCCGUGGGAUGUCAUCGUUGGAAAAAGUCAUCAUGGCUACCUUCCGUCAUCGAUGGGAGGUACCAACCCCCAUUUCUUUCUGUACUCACCAGGCCGGCGAGAACUAACUACCAACUGGAAGCUUCUCAUCCUCAUUUUUGAGAUUCUCCCCCCCCUCACAGUAUGGACACUAUCUUAUGCUGUUAUGCACGAAAAAUUAUUCUGAUGUGGUUAUAUCCCCAUCUCCAGUUUACAGCUUUUGUAGGAAAUCUAAACUGUAAAACAAUCUCAUCCAAAAUAUGAAAUAAUAUGGGACCCAUUUCGAACAAGAUUAGGAAUUAUUCCCCCUUACUCUUUAAGAGAAAGUUAAACACACCGCAGGCUGGACUUUGUAAUGAGAGUUCGAAAAAGAAGGGGAAAAAAAAACGUUGAAAGUGUUAGACUAUAAUAUUAUUUGCGAGAUAGUUAGCAAUGAAUUAUUAUAUAAUUGAAUUAGCACAUUAUUGUAUUAUAUAUUGAAUUAUUAUAUUAAUUAACAAAUUAUUCCCAUCAAUAAAAUUCGUAUUGACUAGCACGAGAAAUAACUGGAUUUGCCAGCCACAUUUUCAAAAGAGCUGAAAAUCGUGCCUUCAUCUAAAGUGUUAAUCAAUCAGAGCUGUCCAACAAGAAAAAUGACCAUACUCUUCAAUUUAUAAUAUAUUUCUAAUCAGCGUAUUGAAUAAAGCAUUCCAAAGGCC